UCGAUCAGUGGAAUCGAUCAGCCAUCAUCCUUCAAAACCGGAGCAAAAGAAUAUUAUAGCAAUAAGUUUUUUCAUUAUCUUACCACAAACCGACAUUAACUGCAAAUGCAUGCAAAUCGUUUUGAUUUUAUGUGCGACGAUUUUGCUUGAGGUAGAUGAUGGAAAAAUGCAGAGAGUAGGAAUUCAUUGUUGACUUUGCGUAGUUCAUCGUAAGCUUGUGCCAGGGAAAUGGUUUCUUGAUGUUACCUUGGCGGAAGAAGCUGUUACGAUAGCGAUCAACUCGAAUGUACUCUCUUUCCCUCUCUCUCUCUCUCUCUCUGUUCCUCUUUGUCGAGAGAGUAACCAGUCGGUUUUCUCCCACUCUCACUCUCUCGUUCCUAUAAGAAGUUCACGAACCUUCGCCGUUCUUAGGUACGCGUAAUAUUGCCCGACACGCGGCAAGGUGUACGCGAUUAUAGUUUGACGCAUGUUUGAUGACUUAUUGGUGGUGAAAUUGCAUGUACAACGGAGUUGAAAAGACGAGUUGGCAUUGUACGUGAUACCUGAUGGCUUUUAUGAAAUGGCGUUUAUAAAAUUGACAAUUGCCUUUGCGCAGAAAGAUUUAUGAGAAUGAGAACGGUAGGACGGUAAGGUUCCAACUGGCUCCAGGAAAAACUUAGCUCAGCAUCCUAACAAAUAAGGUAGAAUAAAAUCGAUCCGAUAACAAAUAUUAUUAUUGCCGAUACUGCUCAGGGCUUCCUUUUGCUGUUAAAUUUAAACCCUAAUAAACAACGGACAUCAUCUUUAUUUUAUUCAUUAUUUCCUAACGCACAUGUCAACAUGUUAUUAGAUCUCCAUUUUGUUAUUAAUAGAUCUUAUUAUUAUCUAUAAAUGAAUAUUGUCUAUAAAUAUACAUAUUUUACGCUUAUUAUAUUAUUAUUGCUGCAUUUGCUAUGAUUGGAUGAUCAAGCCAUCCUGCUAAAUACCUAUAAAAUCCAGAUAAGAUAUAAUCAAAAAGCAACGAAAUGGAGUAUGGAUGAAUGUGAAAGCUCGUCAUGUAGAGGGUUAUCGACCUAAAAUAAAACUAUAACUUUUUAUAAUGUUUCAAUACAACUUACAAGAAACUGAAUGUUAAUUUGACGUUUAUUUUUAGGUUUUCUCUUCAUUAUUCUACAAUUAGAAUUAAUUUUCUCGCAGCGCUGAGUAGAAAAUUCGAAAAACUUUCUAUUACGCUAUUACGAAUCCGUUAGUUACGCGAAAACUUCCAUCGUGUUGAACAAAACAAGUGCAUCCGGAAUGACUACCAAUUUAAUUCCAGUUACCGAUUGCACCAGAUUGUACGCUCAUGGAUUCUGAAAAUACACACGUGAAUAAUCAAUGGUCAUUGACCCUUCGCUUUUCGAUCUUUUCUCUUUUUGCAUUCUUCAUGCAUCCUACAAUCAGAAAUAUCGAAAUUGUUUUGUAAAACGAGUGGAUGUUUGAAAUAAAGUAAUAUUCCACAAAAAUCGAAAUCAGUAUGGUUUAUAUUAUUAUAUCACUAGAUAUCCCACUAAAUGUUAUUAUAUAAUAAUAACAUUUUAUUCUUCUUUCUCUUGAUUUUAGUUAUAAAAUGAAAAAUAUCAUAAACACAUUAUAGUGAGAAAGAUACAAUAUAGAAUAUCUUUUUGUUCUAUAUUUUUUAUUUUGACUGGUCUAAUAUAUUGUUGCUUUUAAUAAUAAAUGCUUUUCUUCUUCUUUAAUUCAUUUCAAGUUUUAAAUAUAUCAUAAAAACCUUAAUUGAGUUGAAGAUUGGAUAACAGUUUCAAAUAAAUGUCAUUUAUUCUCAUUAAUUUAUUGUAUUUAUUAUAUUUAUCGUAAAACUCUUUUCUAAGAAUGGCCAUUACUAAGAACAAGAAUGAAACGUCUACAUGAAUACGUCAUGUAAUAUGUAAUGUCAUGCUAUAUUAUUUGCAAGUAGCAUAUAUUUUUUAUUUAAAUCGUAAUACAAUAUUAAUUAACACGGUUACCUUGAAAUGGUUUUAACAGUCCGCAAAACAAUAGUAUGUAGUUUUGCAUCUCUCAAACAAACUGAAUUAAUUAUUUAUACCAUAUUUUCCUCAUAUUAUGUCACCUAGAUUUAAUUGCGUCACCUUAAGGUGACUUUAUUCUUCCUUAGGUAGAAUUUAAAUAAUGUAUGUACAUUAUUAACAAAAAGUUUCACUUUUAGGUAAAAAAACUUUUUGUUCAAACGUGCGUCAGUUUUACGAAAAACGGUCAAAAAGUGGAGGAGAAACCUUUCCGGCCGCGGAACACUAUCUGUGAGAAGAGGCUGAGCUCUGGCGCCGCCAUUUUGUAAAAAAAUUCAAUAAAAAUUUGUAAAUACACUUCAAAGUAUGUACAAUAAAGGCCUUUAAACGGA